rnacentral:lncRNA from 1 species
CUAGAGGAAAAUGAAAUUCAAGUUUUAGGAAAAUCUAAGCAGCUAAACCCUUGAGUUGGACAACAGUUGGACCAGAGUCACUGCCCGAUGCCAGGACUGGAUGUGAGGGAUGGUUUCCCAGCAGCACUAGUGUGAGACCAUGGCCGAGAGGGAGACCAGGAUCAGACUGAGAUACAGAGGACUCCUCCCAUCACACUUCAGCUCAGGACCCCAGGAUGUUUUCUGUGGACCUUCCUGAAAUUAAGAAGUGGAUUUGCCGUUAACACAGAAACAGCAGAAAGAAAAAAGAGGAUAUACGUAUCUCAGUUACAAUGGAGGAGAGAUUCACUGCAAGCAGCAGAGCCUGGUUUUGUAUGCUGCCCUGACGGCUUCAGAAACCCCACUCCUCCCACUGCGUGGUUCAACCACCCACUGAUUUUUUCUUGUUCUCAGGGGCCCUGCCUUUUCCUGUCCUUGAAUAAAUGUUUGCAGGAACAGCUAUCCUCCCAUGCAAAUGCACACCUCUUUUUCUACAGGCAGCCAGAGAGAAAAUCUUGAGUUUGGGGUUAGAAUAAUAUGUCAUCUGAGCUGAUUCUCUAAAGGAUUCCAUUACAAAAAGUCCCCUAAAUGAUAAUUGCGGACUUUGUCCUGUUAUCAACCACCCCCACCACCCCCCAAGCAGCUGGGCUUAAAAUUGCCUGCUGACUGAUUCCCUGGGGUUUUCUGUGUAACUCUUCCAUCUCCAGUAACAUUGCACAUGUGUACACAUGUGUGCAUACACACGCAUGCACCCUAAACCCACAAAUAUUUAUUGAAUGCUUGUGUAAGACAGUGAAGGCCU